UAGGGAAUCUUCGGCAAUGGACGAAAGUCUGACCGAGCAACGCCGCGUGAGUGAAGAAGGUUUUCGGAUCGUAAAACUCUGUUGUUAGAGAAGAACAAGGACGUUAGUAACUGAACGUCCCCUGACGGUAUCUAACCAGAAAGCCACGGCUAACUACGUGCCAGCAGCCGCGGUAAUACGUAGGUGGCAAGCGUUGUCCGGAUUUAUUUGGCGUAAAGCGAGCGCAGGCGGUUUCUUAAGUCUGAUGUGAAAGCCCCCGGCUCAACCGGGGAGGGUGAUUGGACACUGGGAGACUUGAGUGCAGAAGAGGAGAGUGGAAUUCCAUGUGUAGCGGUGAAAUGCGUAGAUAUAUGGAGGAACACCAGUGGCGAAGGCGGCUCUCUGGUCUGUAACUGACGCUGAGGCUCGAAAGCGUGGGGAGCAAACAGG
rnacentral:rRNA from 1 species